AUUGAACGCUGGCGGCAGGCCUAACACAUGCAAGUCGAGCGGUAGAGAGAAGCUUGCUUCUCUUGAGAGCGGCGGACGGGUGAGUAAUACCUAGGAAUCUGCCUGAUAGUGGGGGAUAACGUUCGGAAACGGACGCUAAUACCGCAUACGUCCUACGGGAGAAAGCAGGGGACCUUCGGGCCUUGCGCUAUCAGAUGAGCCUAGGUCGGAUUAGCUAGUUGGUGAGGUAAUGGCUCACCAAGGCUACGAUCCGUAACUGGUCUGAGAGGAUGAUCAGUCACACUGGAACUGAGACACGGUCCAGACUCCUACGGGAGGCAGCGGUGGGGAAUAUUGGACAAUGGGCGAAAGCCUGAUCCAGCCAUGCCGCGUGUGUGAAGAAGGUCUUCGGAUUGUAAAGCACUUUAAGUUGGGAGGAAGGGCAGUUACCUAAUACGUGAUUGUCUUGACGUUACCGACAGAAUAAGCACC
rnacentral:rRNA from 1 species